ACUUCUGAGACUCAAGAGAAGAGCCGGAAACAGUGCAGUCCCAGGGUGGUCAGUCUCCAGAGUCUCCUGCAUGGAGCAGAGCAGUCUGGGAAGGAGCAGGGACAGGACAGCUCCCAGGGGUCGCCUCAGAAACUGCUGUCCUCAGGAGACCACACCCAUGCACAGAUGGGAGAAGAAUUAGCAUUCUCUCCUGAAGAGUUUUCGUGGAAGAGAGGACACUGGUGGUGCGAGAGGGAAAGCAAAUUGCAAGAAGGAGAUAAAAUCCAGGGCGCAGUGAAAAAGCAGCAAGAUCAUGGGUCAUAAAUAUGGGAAGAGGGCCCUGGAUAUUUGCAGAAGGAGGCAAAUGAGAGAAAGAACCCUCUCCCAUGGAGGGGGAAGCAAGCAGACCAGAAAAAUGUGUCAGCAUCACGCAUCCACACUGGCCGAUCACGUUUUCCCAAGAUGGGAACAUCUCCCACCCCACAAGUUCUUCUAGAACCUUCUAUGCCUCCACUAAGAAAUGGAGUCUAAUUCUCCUCCACUUGAACCUGGGCGGGUUUGUGACUCACUCAUUACUGAUGGAAUGGGUGGAAACAGCAGUACAACCCUUCUGAAGCUACAUGAGAAGAGCUUCUGUCUUGUAGGAUAUCCAUGCAGGAGCCCUGAGCUGGGGCCAUACUGUGAGGAAGCCCAAGCUAGCCCAUGAAGAGAGAACCUGGAGAGUCUCUAAGUCCAUGGAGGGAGAGGGAUGCCAGUCAGGGCUCAGAUGUUCCAGCCUCAGCCACUCAGUGAGACCCUG